GGGCUUACACCAAGCGAUGUUUGGGGGCCUCUCCUAGUAAAGCUGAACUGAUUAAUAAUGCCAAAAAAUCUGAUGAGGAGGCACGUGCUGCACGUGUAGAGUUGCAGGAGACCAUUUCAAAAAUGCAAGCCGACUAUGACAAGAAGUUGGAAAAUUUACGAGCCAACUAUGACGACAAGUUGGAAAAUUUACAACAACAGGUGGCUAUGUUAAUGCAGAUGCAACAAAAAAAAAUUGUAGUGGACAGGGUUCUGAUUCUUUAAAUGCUCCUCCUAGAGUAUCCCCAAAUUCAUUUUCUAGUCGUGAUGCCAAUUCAAUUAAGGGUAAUUCAAAUCAAAUGGGCAAGAAGACUUGUUGAAGUUGAAGUUGAAGAUGAGGUCAUGGCUGUGCUUUCUGAAUUUCCUUUGCCUUGGAUGGGUUCUUUUUGAAAAACUUGUAUAACAUUUGUCAAAAAUUCUUAAUUCUUUUUGUGUGACAUUUAGUAGCUUUAUCUAGACAAUUUGGAUGGUAUUUUCAUAUUGGCAGGUUAACUUGUGGUUGUAUUAGUAUACA